GAAGAAGGGUUUCGGCUCGUAAAACUCUGUUGUUAAAGAAGAACAUAUCUGAGAGUAACUGUUCAGGUAUUGACGGUAUUUAACCAGAAAGCCACGGCUAACUACGUGCCAGCAGCCGCGGUAAUACGUAGGUGGCAAGCGUUGUCCGGAUUUAUUGGGCGUAAAGCGAGCGCAGGCGGUUUUUUAAGUCUGAUGUGAAAGCCUUCGGCUCAACCGAAGAAGUGCAUCGGAAACUGGGAAACUUGAGUGCAGAAGAGGACAGUGGAACUCCAUGUGUAGCGGUGAAAUGCGUAGAUAUAUGGAAGAACACCAGUGGCGAAGGCGGCUGUCUGGUCUGUAACUGACGCUGAGGCUCGAAAGUAUGGGUAGCAAACAGGAUUAGAUACCCUGGUAGUCCAUACCGUAAACGAUGAAUGCUAAGUGUUGGAGGGUUUCCGCCCUUCAGUGCUGCAGCUAACGCAUUAAGCAUUCCGCCUGGGGAGUACGGCCGCAAGGCUGAAACUCAAAGGAAUUGACGGGGGCCCGCACAAGCGGUGGAGCAUGUGGUUUAAUUCGAAGCUACGCGAAGAACCUUACCAGGUCUUGACAUACUAUGCAAAUCUAAGAGAUUAGACGUUCCCUUCGGGGACAUGGAUACAGGUGGUGCAUGGUUGUCGUCAGCUCGUGUCGUGAGAUGUUGGGUUAAGUCCCGCAACGAGCGCAACCCUUAUUAUCAGUUGCCAGCAUUAAGUUGGGCACUCUGGUGAGACUGCCGGUGACAAACCGGAGGAAGGUGGGGAUGACGUCAAAUCAUCAUGCCCCUUAUGACCUGGGCUACACACGUGCUACAAUGGAUGGUACAACGAGUUGCGAACUCGCGAGAGUAAGCUAAUCUCUUAAAGCCAUUCUCAGUUCGGAUUGUAGGCUGCAACUCGCCUACAUGAAGUCGGAAUCGCUAG
rnacentral:rRNA from 2 species